UCAUGCAUUUUACAACCUCUUAAACUGUAUGAGUCCCUAUUUUUACGCUUAUACCUAAGAUAUCAAAUAAAAGUACAUGAAACAGAGAACAUUUGUAGAAAGUUUUAUCGUGAGGCCACGGCCAGUUUUUAAAAUAUCUUUAUUUCUGUUCUGGUCAUCACCAAAAUUACACAAAAGCCGGACUUGAAUAUACAACAAAUUUUGAAUCGCAUCAAGCACAAAAAUACUUAACGUGUAACCAAAAUAUGCUCAUGAAAUCGAAAUUAAUAGCUAAAUGUUCAAACUAGACCCUUCUCGAAGCGGUUUUCAUGAAGGAAGUUCACAUUUCGGCCUUUGAUUCUUGGCAAAAAUUUGACAACAACACGUGCGAAGCAACUGGGUCUCAAAGACUGAACUAAAACAUUGUGAGCCCCUAUUUUCCUGACGAUAUGUUUGAUACCUACAAACGCCGAAAACUUUUUUCUUUUCAUUUAGCUAUAUUUGAAUUUGAGGCCACGGGCUAUUUUUGAGAAAGUACAGUUCAAAGUCAAGCUAUUUUUACAUUUUUU